rnacentral:rRNA from 1 species
UACAGAGGGGGCAAGCGUUGUUCGGAAUUACUGGGCGUAAAGGGCGCGUAGCGGCCUUCUAAGUCGAACGUGAAAUCCCCGGGCUCAACCCGGGAACUGCGUCCGAGACUGGAAGGCUCGAAUCCGGGAGAGGGAUGUGGAAUUCCAGGUGUAGCGGUGAAAUGCGCAGGAUACUCAGGAAGAACACCAAUAGCGAAGGCAGCUCGCUGGGACGGUACUGACGCUGAGGCGCGAAAGCGUGGGGAGCGAACAGG